rnacentral:rRNA from 1 species
UACGUAGGGUGCGAGCGUUAAUCGGAAUUACUGGGCGUAAAGCGUGCGCAGGCGGUUUUGUAAGUCUGUCGUGAAAUCCCCCGGGCUCAACCUGGGAAUUGCGAUGGAGACUGCAAGGCUAGAAUCUGGCAGAGGGGGGUAGAAUUCCACGUGUAGCAGUGAAAUGCGUAGAGAUGUGGAGGAACACCGAUGGCGAAGGCAGCCCCCCUGGGCCUGCACUGACGCUCAUGCACGAAAGCGUGGGGAGCAAACAGG